rnacentral:rRNA from 1 species
CAGAGAUGAGAAUGUGCCUUCGGGAACCGUGAGACAGGUGCUGCAUGGCUGUCGUCAGCUCGUGUUGUGAAAUGUUGGGUUAAGUCCCGCAACGAGCGCAACCCUUAUCCUUUGUUGCCAGCGGUCCGGCCGGGAACUCAAAGGAGACUGCCAGUGAUAAACUGGAGGAAGGUGGGGAUGACGUCAAGUCAUCAUGGCCCUUACGACCAGGGCUACACACGUGCUACAAUGGCGCAUACAAAGAGAAGCGACCUCGCGAGAGCAAGCGGACCUCAUAAAGUGCGUCGUAGUCCGGAUUGGAGUCUGCAACUCGACUCCAUGAAGUCGGAAUCGCUAGUAAUCGUGGAUCAGAAUGCCACGGUGAAUACGUUCCCGGGCCUUGUACACACCGCCCGUCACACCAUGGGAGUGGGUUGCAAAAGAAGUAGGUAGCUUAACCUUCGGGAGGGCGCUUACCACUUUGUGAUUCAUGACUGGGGUGAAGUCGUAACAAGGUAACCGUAGGGGAACCUGCGGCUGGAUCACCUC